GGGAAUGUAGUUAAAUUAACAUUUAAAUUGCAAUUAAAAAAUACUAAAUAAAAUAGUCUUUCUCA
rnacentral:tRNA from 1 species